rnacentral:misc_RNA from 1 species
UUGGAGAAUUCUGGAGAUCCAUUCUUCGACUUCGGCAACGCCCAGCACCUCACCUACUGGGAAUGUCUGUACUUUUUAAUGGUCACCAUGUCCACAGUGGGCUUUGGCGACAUCUUUGCCACCACUGUCCUUGGGAGAACCUUUGUGGUCAUCUUCAUCAUGAUAUUCAUCGGUCUGUUUGCCAGCUUCAUCCCUGAGAUUGCUGAAAUUCUUGGUAAACGCCAGAAAUAUGGCGGAUCCUACAAAAAGGAAAGAGGCAAACGGCAUGUUGUGGUAUGUGGGUACAUCACCUUCGACUCUGUAUCCAACUUCCUGAAAGAUUUUCUCCACAAAGAUAGAGAAGAUGUGGAUGUAGAGAUUGUUUUUUUACACAAAGGGUUACCCGGCCUGGAGCUGGAAGGGUUGUUGAAGAGACAUUUCACCCAGGUGGAAUAUUUCUGGGGUUCUGUCAUGGAUGCAAAUGAUUUGGAAAGGGUCAAAAUCCAAGAAGCAGACGCCUGCCUAGUGCUUGCAAAUAAGUACUGUCAGGAUCCCGAUCAAGAGGAUGCUGCCAACAUCAUGCGAGUCAUCUCCAUCAAGAAUUACCAUAGUGAUAUUAAAGUGAUCGUCCAGUUGCUACAAUAUCAUAACAAGGCCUAUUUGCUGAACAUUCCCAGCUGGGACUGGAAGAGAGGAGACGAUGCUGUAUGUGUGGCGGAACUCAAACUUGGUUUCAUUGCCCAAAGCUGUUUGGCCCCCGGCUUCUCCACUCUGAUGGCAAACUUGUUCACCAUGCGCUCAUACAAACCAACGCCUGAGAUGUCACAGUGGCAGACUGAUUAUAUGCGAGGGACUGGCAUGGAAAUGUACACUGAGUAUUUGUCGAGUGCCUUUAACGCCCUCACCUUCCCAGAGGCUGCAGAGUUGUGUUUCUCCAAGUUGAAGUUGCUGCUCUUGGCUAUAGAGGUACGUCAGGAAGACACAAGGGAGAGCACCCUAGCCAUCAACCCCGGCCCAAAAGUGAAGAUUGAGAAUGCCACCCAAGGCUUCUUCAUCGCGGAGUCUGCGGAGGAGGUCAAAAGAGCAUUUUACUAUUGCAAGAACUGCCACGCCAAUGUUUCUGAUGUGAGACAGAUCAAAAAGUGCAAGUGCAGACCCCUGGCAAUGUUCAAGAAAGGAGCAGCAGCGGUUUUAGCCUUGCAGAGAACUCCAGGCCUGGCCGUAGAGCCUGAUGGAGAAGCAAAUGAUAAGGACAAGUCGCGGGGAACUUCGACAUCCAAAGCUGUUACUUCAUUCCCUCACCGACUAGCCACAAGCCUCAUGUCCCCAAUAAUGAGCCAUCUGCCGUCGACCACUCUCAAGUCCAAAUCUCCCUCGGAGGAUUCGGUUCCACCACCACCUCCGCCAGUGGACGAGCCUCGCAAGUUUGACUCAACUGGAAUGUUCCACUGGUGCCCGGAUAGACCUCUCAAUGACUGCUUGCAGGAUCGUAGCCAAGCAUCUGCCAGCGGCCUGCGUAACCAUGUGGUUGUGUGUCUUUUUGCCGAUGCUGCCUCUCCUCUGAUUGGUUUGAGGAAUUUGGUGAUGCCACUGCGGGCCAGCAACUUCCACUACCAUGAGCUGAAGCCCACUAUCAUCGUGGGCAACUUGGACUAUCUCCACAGGGAGUGGAAGACUCUGCAGAACUUUCCAAAACUCUCCAUCCUACCAGGCUCUCCUCUGAAUCGUGCCAACUUGCGGGCUGUGAACAUCAACUUGUGUGAUAUGUGUGUCAUUGUGUCAGCCAAAGAUCGCAAUAUGGAAGACCCCAACUUGGUGGAUAAAGAAGCCAUUCUGUGCUCUCUUAACAUCAAGGCUAUGACCUUCGACGACACCAUGGGCCUCAUUCAGUCUUCAAAUUUCGUCCCGGGAGGCUUCUCACCUCUGCAUGAGAACAAGAGAUCUCAAGCCGGUGCUAAUGUUCCUUUGAUCACUGAGCUGGCAAAUGAUUCUAAUGUUCAGUUCCUGGAUCAAGAUGAUGAUGAUGACCCAGACACAGAGCUGUACAUGACCCAGCCGUUUGCCUGUGGCACCGCCUUCGCUGUCAGUGUCCUCGACUCGCUUAUGAGCACGAGUUACUUCAAUGACAAUGCACUGACGUUGAUCCGCACUCUGAUCACUGGUGGUGCCACCCCAGAGCUGGAACAGAUUCUGGCUGAAGGGGCAGGCAUGAGGGGAGGCUACUGCUCUCCAGCUGUCCUCGCUAACCGGGACAGAUGUCGGGUGGCACAGAUAUCCCUGUUUGAUGGACCCUUGGCACAAUUUGGGCAAGGAGGCCAUUAUGGAGAACUGUUUGUGUACGCCCUGAGGCACUUUGGCAUCUUAUGCAUAGGACUGUACAGGUUCAGAGACACCAACGAAUCCGUACGGAGCCCAUCUUCCAAACGUUAUGUCAUCACCAACCCCCCAGAAGAUUUCCCAUUGUUACCCACAGAUCAGGUUUAUGUCCUCACCUACAAACAGAUAACAAAUCAUUAGGGGGCGACUCACUCAAGACAUUUGUAGUUGAAGGCUGAUCUAUCACCUUAGCUGCCAGCUAGUGGUAGUCAAAGCUUUUUGUCUCCAGCCUUUCAACUUCAAUGACAUAAUGAGGAAAGUGAAACGACGCCCCAAGAGUAGUCAGCGCAGUGGUGAACCUGCC